rnacentral:rRNA from 1 species
AUUGAACGCUGGCGGCAGGCCUAACACAUGCAAGUCGAACGGUAACAGGAAGACGCUUGCUUCUUUGCUGACGAGUGGCGGACGGGUGAGUAAUGUCUGGGAAACUGCCUGAUGGAGGGGGAUAACUACUGGAAACGGUAGCUAAUACCGCAUAACGUCGCAAGACCAAAGAGGGGGACCUUCGGGCCUCUUGCCAUCGGAUGUGCCCAGAUGGGAUUAGCUAGUAGGUGGGGUAACGGCUCACCUAGGCGACGAUCCCUAGCUGGUCUGAGAGGAUGACCAGCCACACUGGAACUGAGACACGGUCCAGACUCCUACGGGAGGCAGCAGUGGGGAAUAUUGGAAAAUGGGCGCAAGCCUGAUGCAGCCAUGCCGCGUGUAUGAAGAAGGCCUUCGGGUUGUAAAGUACUUUCAGCGGGGAGGAAGGGAGUAAAGUUAAUACCUUUGCUCAUUGACGUUACCCGCAGAAGAAGCACCGGCUAACUCCGUG